AACUCUGAGCGGUGGAUCACUCAGCUCGUGUGUGUCAAUGAAGAACGCAGAUAGCUGUGAGAACUAAUGUGAAUUGCAGGACAUAUUUAUCAUUGACACUUCAAAUGCACUUUGUGGCCCUGGGUUAUGCCCAGGGCUACACCUGUCUGAGUGUUG